rnacentral:rRNA from 1 species
UACAGAGGGGGCAAGCGUUAUUCGGAAUUAUUGGGCGUAAAGGGCUCGUAGGCGGUUCGUCACGUCGGGAGUGAAAACUCGGAGCUUAACUCCGAGCCUGCUUCCGAUACGGGCAGACUAGAGGUAGGUAGGGGAGAAUGGAAUUCCCGGUGUAGCGGUGAAAUGCGCAGAUAUCGGGAGGAACACCGGUGGCGAAGGCGGUUCUCUGGGCCUUACCUGACGCUGAGGAGCGAAAGCGUGGGGAGCAAACAGG